AACGAACGCUGGCGGCAUGCCUAACACAUGCAAGUCGAACGAGAUCUUCGGGUCUAGUGGCGCACGGGUGCGUAACGCGUGGGAAUCUGCCCUUUGGUUCGGAAUAACAGGUGGAAACGACUGCUAAUACCGGAUGAUGACGAAAGUCCAAAGAUUUAUCGCCAGAGGAUGAGCCCGCGUAGGAUUAGCUAGUUGGUGUGGUAAAGGCGCACCAAGGCGACGAUCCUUAGCUGGUCUGAGAGGAUGAUCAGCCACACUGGGACUGAGACACGGCCCAGACCCCUACGGGAGGCAGCAGUGGGGAAUAUUGGACAAUGGGCGAAAGCCUGAUCCAGCAAUGCCGCGUGAGUGAUGAAGGCCUUAGGGUUGUAAAGCUCUUUUACCCGGGAUGAUAAUGACAGUACCGGGAGAAUAAGCUCCGGCCAACUCCGUGCCAGCAGCCGCAGUAA
rnacentral:rRNA from 1 species